AACGAACGCUGGCGGCAUGCCUAACACAUGCAAGUCGAACGAGACCUUCGGGUCUAGUGGCGCACGGGUGCGUAACGCGUGGGAACCUGCCCUUAGGGUCGGAAUAACUCCCCGAAAGGGGUGCUAAUACCGGAUAAUGUCUUCGGACCAAAGAUUUAUCGCCUUUGGAUGGGCCAGCGUUGGAUUAGCUAGUUGGUAGGGUAAAAGCCUACCAAGGCGACGAUCCAUAGCUGGUCUGAGAGGAUGAUCAGCCACACUGAGACUGAGACACGGCCCAGACUCCUACGGGAGGCAGCAGUGGGGGAUAUUGGACAGUGGGCGAAAGCCUGAUCCAGCAAUGCUGCGUGAAUGAUGAAGGCCUUAGGGUUGUAAAGCUCUAUUACCCGGGAUGAUAAUGACAGUACCGGGAGAAUAAGCUCCGGCUAACUCCGUG
rnacentral:rRNA from 1 species